CACGUAGGGGGCGAGCGUUGUCCGGAAUCAUUGGGCGUAAAGAGCUCGUAGGCGGCUCGGUAAGUCGGGUGUGAAACCCCCAGGCUCAACCUGGGGACGCCACCCGAUACUGCUGUGGCUAGAGUCCGGAAGAGGAGAAUGGAAUUCCCGGUGUAGCGGUGAAAUGCGCAGAUAUCGGGAAGAACACCCGUGGCGAAGGCGGUUCUCUGGGACGGUACUGACGCUGAGACGCGAAAGCGUGGGGAGCGAACAGG
rnacentral:rRNA from 1 species